rnacentral:rRNA from 1 species
UACGUAGGGCGCAAGCGUUAUCCGGAAUUAUUGGGCGUAAAGAGCUCGUAGGCGGUUUGUCGCGUCUGCUGUGAAAGACCGGGGCUCAACUCCGGUUCUGCAGUGGGUACGGGCAGACUAGAGUGCAGUAGGGGAGACUGGAAUUCCUGGUGUAGCGGUGAAAUGCGCAGAUAUCAGGAGGAACACCGGUGGCGAAGGCGGUUCUCUGGGCCGUACCUGACGCUGAGGAGCGAAAGCGUGGGGAGCGAACAGG